UCAUACUCCAAAACACAUAACUGACAAGAAACAAAAGCAAAGACAAAUCUUAAGACACUGGACAAUCUUAAGACAUAGGAUCAAGUAACUAACUCUUAACAAGAAGAUGAACCACUAAAACAUAGAACUCCAAAGGAAUACAAAUCAUAAGCAAUAACAGUUCAAACUAAGCAAAAAUCCCUCAAUCAUUCUUUAAGGGAUCGAUAGUAACCACUAGGACCCUUAAAAGUACCCAUCAUAAACCGGCAUCACAGAAGCAUCUCCACCAUAGUAGCCAUUUGGUGGUGGUGGUGCGGGCAUCACAGAAGCAUCUCCACCAUAAUAGCCAUUUGGUGGUGGUGGUGGUGGUGCUGGCAUGACAAAAGCAUCUCCACCAUAAUAGCCAGUAGAUGGUGGUGGUGUCGGCAUCACAGAAGUAUCUCCACCAUAGUAGCCAUUAGGUGGUGGUGGUGCCGGCAUCACAGAAAGAUCUCCAUCAUAUAGCCAUUAGGUGGCGGUGGUGGUGCUGGCAUGACAAAAGUAUCUCCACCAUAAUAACCAGUAGAUGGUGGUGGUGUCGGCAUCACAGAAGUAUCUCCACCAUAGUAGCCAUUAGGUGGUGGUGGUGCCGGCAUCACAGAAAGAUCUCCACCAUAAUAGCCAUUAGGUGGUGGUGGUGGUGUCGGCAUCAUCACAGAAGCAUCUCCACCAUAAUAGCCAUUAGGUGGUGGUGGUGUCGGCAUCACAAAAGCAUCUCCACCAUUAUAUCCAUUAGGUGGUGGUGGUGGUAGUUGUUGUCCAGCAUGAGGGUUCAUCUCUUCCAUGAGCAAAGAUUGACUUGGUUCAACAUUCAUCCCAUUAGAUCCCACGAUCAGUUGCUGGACUGAUGUUUUCUUCCUAAGAGCAUCAAUCCGGUUUUCGAUUUCCUUUUCUUUCUUUUGAAUAAUCCAAUACAAAUCAUCCAAAUCUUCCUUUUUCAUGCCCCCCAGUCCCUUGCCAUUCAAUGCCUGAUACAUUACUUCAGUCAUCUCCAUUUCCCUAUUUUCAAGCUGCUGCUGCUUAAUUUUUUUCACUAAUUUCUUGUUCCUUUGCUUGAGGUAGUCUUCUGGAUUAGUCAUUCUUUUGUUUUUUCCCAUCUCUGGCAGGUUUUUGAACCGAUUCACCACAUGUUGAGCCUCUUCUGGAGAUGGCCAAACUGUAGGGUUUAGAUCAUUUGGUCCAUCAUGGAUGAUAGCACAAGCUUCCACCCCACAUAAAAUACUUAACUCCUCUGUUUUCUUGAUCAAACCACCCUUCCUUACCCUCAAGCAGUUUUUUCGGGUUGAAUUGUUUUU
rnacentral:lncRNA from 1 species